AACGCACAUUGCGCCCGCCAGCACUCUGGCGGGCAUGCCUGUUCGAGCGUCAUUUCAACCCUCAGGCCCCCGUGGCCUGGUGCUGGGGCACCGCCGCCGCCGCGCGCGCAGGCCCCGAAAACCAGUGGCGGGCUCGCUGGGACUCCGGGCGCAGUAGAUCUCCUCUCGCCCUGGAGGCCCGGCGCGGCCCCGCCGUAAAACCCCCCAACGCGCUAUGGUUGACCUCGGAUCAGGUAGGAAUACCCGCUGAACUUAA
rnacentral:misc_RNA from 1 species